ACUCCUACGGGAGGCAGCAGUGGGGAAUAUUGGACAAUGGGCGGAAGCCUGAUCCAGCCAUGCCGCGUGUGUGAAGAAGGCCUUUUGGUUGUAAAGCACUUUAAGCGAGGAGGAGGCUACUAGUACUAAUACUACUGGAUAGUGGACGUUACUCGCAGAAUAAGCACCGGCUAACUCUGUGCCAGCAGCCGCGGUAAUACAGAGGGUGCGAGCGUUAAUCGGAUUUACUGGGCGUAAAGCGUGCGUAGGCGGCUUUUUAAGUCGGAUGUGAAAUCCCCGAGCUUAACUUGGGAAUUGCAUUCGAUACUGGGAAGCUAGAGUAUGGGAGAGGAUGGUAGAAUUCCAGGUGUAGCGGUGAAAUGCGUAGAGAUCUGGAGGAAUACCGAUGGCGAAGGCAGCCAUCUGGCCUAAUACUGACGCUGAGGUACGAAAGCAUGGGGAGCAAACAGGAUUAGAUACCCUGGUAGUCCAUGCCGUAAACGAUGUCUACUAGCCGUUGGGGCCUUUGAGGCUUUAGUGGCGCAGCUAACGCGAUAAGU
rnacentral:rRNA from 1 species